UACUUUUGCCUCGAGAUUCUAAUGUGUCAGUGCCUCUGCCUCUUUCCCGUCCAUGUCCAUGGCCUCAAUCACGGCCACUUAAUCCUCUCCCUAUAGAAAUUUCACCAUGAGUUUAAGCCUUCAAGGCUUGCUUGUCUGUUGGAGUAGUCAUUUUCUACUCAGACACAAAUAAUAAAAUUUACAAUUCAUUAAUUGAAAGUUUGUCAAAGUCUUUUGACUUCUCAAUAAAACAUACAGCGUAAGAGAAUUUUAGAUCCAUUAAUCUAAGAAUCUUCUCCACCAUAAUGACAUCUUCGAUUUUUUCACCGUGAAUAUGCAUCCUAUUUAUUAUACCUCGUGUUAUUGAGAAAUACGCGUCAACAGACUCUCCG
rnacentral:lncRNA from 1 species